rnacentral:rRNA from 13 species
AACGUUAUAAUUAAAAUUAAAAAAGCACUCGUUUUCGUCCGAUCACGAAAGUUAAGCAACGCUAGGCACGGAUGGUACUUAGAUGGUUGACCGCUUGGGAACUCCGUGUUAUAUUGGUU